CACGUAGGGUGCGAGCGUUGUCUGGAAUUAUUGGGCGUAAAGAGCUCGUAGGCGGUGUGUCGCGUCGGCCGUGAAAACCUGCAGCUUAACUGUGGGCUUGCGGUCGAUACGGGCAUCACUGGAGUUCGGCAGGGGAGACUGGAAUUCCUGGUGUAGCGGUGAAAUGCGCAGAUAUCAGGAGGAACACCGGUGGCGAAGGCGGAUCUCUGGGCCAUUACUGACGCUGAGGAGCGAAAGCGUGGGGAGCGAACAGG
rnacentral:rRNA from 1 species